rnacentral:sRNA from 1 species
GCUGGGUAUGCUGGCACACACCUGUAAUCCCAGCAACAUGGGAGGCUGAGGCAGGAGAGUCACAAGUUCAAGGCCAGCCUCAGCAAUAUAGGGAGACUCUCAGAAAGUUAGAAAGACCCCUGUCUCAA